GAAUCUGCCCUCAGGAGGGGGAUAACGGUUGGAAACGACCGCUAAUACCCCAUAUGCCGAGAGGUGAAAUGAAAUUCGCCUGAGGAUGAGCUCGCGUCUGAUUAGCUAGUUGGUAAGGUAAUGGCUUACCAAGGCAUUGAUCAGUAGCUGGUCUGAGAGGAUGAUCAGCCACACUGGGACUGAGACACGGUCCAGACUCCUACGGGAGGCAGCAGUGGGGAAUUUUCCGCAAUGGGCGCAAGCCUGACGGAGCAACGCCGCGUGAGGGAUGAAGGCCUCUGGGCUGUAAACCUCUUUUAUCAAGGAAGAAGAACUGACGGUACUUGAUGAAUAAGCCACGGCUAAUUCCGUGCCAGCAGCCGCGGUAACACGGGAGUGGCAAGCGUUAUCCGGAAUUAUUGGGCGUAAAGCGUCCGCAGGCGGUUUUACAAGUCUGUCGUUAAAGCGUGGAGCUCAACUCCAUUUCAGCGAUGGAAACUGUAAGACUCGAGUGUGGUAGGGGCAGAGGGAAUUCCCGGUGUAGCGGUGAAAUGCGUAGAUAUCGGGAAGAACACCAGUGGCGAAAGCGCUCUGCUGGGCCAUAACUGACGCUCAUGGACGAAAGCCAGGGGAGCG
rnacentral:rRNA from 1 species